rnacentral:tRNA from 1 species
UACUGAAGAUAUCAAGGAAGUAAAUUUUACUUUAAAAUAUUAAUAAAACUUAUGUUUAAUUUAGCAA